GGGGCUGUAGCUCAGAUGGUAGAGCGCUGCAAUCGCACUGCAGAGGCCAGCGGUUCGAAUCCGCUCAGCUCCACCA
rnacentral:tRNA from 1 species